rnacentral:rRNA from 1 species
UACGAAGGGGGGCUAGCGUUGUUCGGAAUUACUGGGCGUAAAGCGCGCGCAGGCGGCUAUCCAAGUCAGUGGUGAAAGCCCGGAGCUCAACUCCGGAACUGCCAUUGAAACUGUUUAGCUUGAGGAUGAGAGAGGUGAGUGGAAUUCCCAGUGUAGAGGUGAAAUUCGUAGAUAUUGGGAAGAACACCGGUGGCGAAGGCGGCUCACUGGACCGAGACUGACGCUGAGGCGCGAAAGCGUGGGGGAGCAAACAGG